GAUGAACGCUGGCGGCGUGCUUAACACAUGCAAGUCGAACGAUGAUCCGGUGCUUGCAUCGGGGAUUAGUGGCGAACGGGUGAGUAACACGUGAGUAACCUGCCCUUAACUCUGGGAUAAGCCUGGGAAACUGGGUCUAAUACCGGAUAUGACUCCUCAUCGCAUGGUGGGGGGUGGAAAGCUUUUGUGGUUUUGGAUGGACUCGCGGCCUAUCAGCUUGUUGGUGAGGUAAUGGCUCACCAAGGCGACGACGGGUAGCCGGCCUGAGAGGGUGACCGGCCACACUGGGACUGAGACACGGCCCAGACUCCUACGGGAGGCAGCAGUGGGGAAUAGUGCACAAUGGGCGGAAGCCUGAUGCAGCGACGCCGCGUGAGGGAUGACGGCCUUCGGUUUGUAAACCUCUUUCAGUAGGGAAGAAGCGAAAGUGACGGUACCUGCAGAAGAAGCGCCGGCUAACUACGUGCCAGCAGCCGCCGUAAUAC
rnacentral:rRNA from 1 species